GACGAACGCUGGCGGCGUGCUUAACACAUGCAAGUCGAACGAAGAGCGAUGGAAGCUUGCUUCUAUCAAUCUUAGUGGCGAACGGGUGAGUAACGCGUAAUCAACCUGCCCUUCAGAGGGGGACAACAGUUGGAAACGACUGCUAAUACCGCAUACGAUCUAAUCUCGGCAUCGAGGAAAGAUGAAAGGUGGCCUCUAUUUAUAAGCUAUCACUGAAGGAGGGGAUUGCGUCUGAUUAGCUAGUUGGAGGGGUAACGGCCCACCAAGGCGAUGAUCAGUAGCCGGUCUGAGAGGAUGAACGGCCACAUUGGGACUGAGACACGGCCCAGACUCCUACGGGAGGCAGCAGUGGGGAAUCUUCCGCAAUGGACGAAAGUCUGACGGAGCAACGCCGCGUGAGUGAUGACGGCCUUCGGGUUGUAAACUCCUUUCGCCAGGGACGAAGCGUUUUGUGACGGUACCUGGAGAAGAAGCACCGGCUAACUACGUG
rnacentral:rRNA from 1 species